rnacentral:rRNA from 1 species
GUGGGGAAUCUUGCGCAAUGGGCGAAAGCCUGACGCAGCCAUGCCGCGUGAAUGAUGAAGGUCUUAGGAUUGUAAAAUUCUUUUAGCAGGGACGAUAAUGACGGUACCUGCAGAAAAAGCCCCGGCUAACUUCGUGCCAGCAGCCGCGGUAAUACGAAGGGGGCUAGCGUUGCUCGGAAUUACUGGGCGUAAAGGGAGCGUAGGCGGGUUAUCAAGUUGGGGGUGAAAGCCCGGGGCUCAACCUCGGAAUUGCCUUCAAAACUGAUAACCUGGAGUAUGGAAGAGGUAAGUGGAACUCCGAGUGUAGAGGUGAAAUUCGUAGAUAUUCGGAAGAACACCAGUGGCGAAGGCGACUUACUGGUCCAUUACUGACGCUGAGGCUCGAAAGCGUGGGGAGCAAACAGG